rnacentral:lncRNA from 1 species
GGAGAAGGCCUUUAAACAAAAGCUUAAUUAAAUCAACAAUAUUGCCAUCACACUAGUUGUAAAACUUGUAACUAGGUUAAAAAGAGAACUCGUAGUGUGGGAAUUCCAAUAUUUCUUGGGAAAAUUAUCUAUUUUUCAAAUCUCAAUCAAGAAAUUGUUGAAAGAGGGAACUGUGUUAUACUGUACUUUGAGAUUAAAGUUUAAUAAUCAGUUUAGAACCAUGACUGUUUGAAGGACAAUCCAUUUAAGUCAAGCUCAAAACCAAGAGCAAAGAAAGUUGACAAGUGGAGUUUACAGGUAAGGUCAACAUUUCCAGGAACCAGAACAAGAGCCCAUAAAAAAGAAGUGGUCACAGUCUAAUCACUUUCUCACUUAAGUACUGUAUGUACAUGUCUGUGCCUCCUAUCUGCUGGUACUGGUGAGUCACCCUUAAAAAGUUAUACAUAGUGUACUUUAUGCAAAUCUAUCAAUGGUAUUCUAAGAAAUAAUACAUUGUGGAAGCAAAACAAAUCCUUCAAUUGGCAGUUUCAACUUAUGAUUCAUGUAGUGCUGUGAACCUUUCUAAAAAACCCAAAUGUUACAUUAUGCAAAUAUUACCAAAUAAAUUUGUUGGCACUUUCCGGUGUUGAUUUGCCAAAGGCUACUCUUCUUUGCAGAUACUUGAGAAGUGCAAAGAAAUGAUGACGUGAAUGUUGCUGAACAUGAAAAAAAUUAGAAACUUAACUCCAAUAGCAACACUAAAUCAGAGCAAACAGACAAAAUAUUUUCAUCAUUAAAAAAAAUCACUGGGCAUGGUGGUACAUGCCUAUAAUCUG